rnacentral:rRNA from 1 species
GACGAAUGCUGGCUGCGUGCUUAACACAUGCAAGUCGAACGGUGAAGGAGAGCUUGCUCUCCGGAUCAGUGGCGAACGGGUGAGUAACACGUGGGCAACCUGCCCCUCACUCUGGGAUAACGCCGGGAAACCGGCGCUAAUACCGGGUACGACCAGGCGCGACAUCUCGCCUGGUGGAAAGAAUUUCGGUGAGGGAUGGGCCCGCGGCCUAUCAGCUUGUUGGUGGGGUAACGGCCCACCAAGGCGACGACGGGUAGCCGGCCUGAGAGGGCGACCGGCCACACUGGGACUGAGACACGGCCCAGACUCCUACGGGAGGCAGCAGUGGGGAAUAUUGGACAAUGGGCGCAAGCCUGAUCCAGCCAUGCCGCGUGAGUGAUGAAGGCCUUAGGGUUGUAAAGCUCUUUCACCGACGAAGAUAAUGACGGUAGUCGGAGAAGAGGCCCUGGCUAACUUCGUGCCAGCAGCCGCCGUAAAAC